GUUUGCGUAGCUUAUCAUAAAGCAAAGCACUGAAAAUGCUUAGAUGGGCUAUAUGUCCCGCAGGCA
rnacentral:tRNA from 2 species